rnacentral:rRNA from 1 species
UACGUAGGGUGCAAGCGUUUGUCCGGAAUUAUUGGGCGUAAAGAGCUCGUAGGCGGUUUGUCGCGUCUGCUGUGAAAACCCGAGGCUCAACCUCGGGCCUGCAGUGGGUACGGGCAGACUAGAGUGCGGUAGGGGGAGAUUGGAAUUCCUGGUGUAGCGGUGGAAUGCGCAGAUAUCAGGAGGAACACCGGUGGCGAAGGCGGGUCUCUGGGCCGUAACUGACGCUGGAGGAGCGAAAGCGUGGGGAGCGAACAGG